AAACAACUUCUCAGCAAUUCUGGCAUUAUGUUGACUUGGUUGGAGGAGCAGAGAGAGCUGGCCUCUCAUUCAGGCCUUGCUGUAAAAGAGGGACAGGGAGACAGUACGGCUUAAACAACCAGAGAUUGGAAGCACUGAAAAGAGCAUAGGCAAAGGGCAGGGAGGAGUAGCUGAGAUGGAGGCCCACCAAGAGGACUGACAUUUUGUACUGCUGUGAGAUGGGAAAACGUGUGACAUUUUUAUUCAUGGUGGCGUACGCCCUUGUAAUGAUCAGCCCUGGUCGAUGUGCUUACUGCAGCAGCCCCGAGCCCUCGGAGAACAAACAAGAACUGGAGGUGCCAGCAGUUCGGCUGCCUUAUUAAACUCCACCAGGAUUCUAACGAAGAGCAACCGCUGGAAAAUCUCACUGUCAAAUCCUCAAGGACAUUGUCAACAUGGAACUAACUACAUAUAUUUUUCAUUUAAAAUACUGGAAAAUACAGCAAUGUGAUUUUAAAUAUAAAGAAAAAAAGUCACACUUUUCAUCUGUUUUCUUUUUUAACCGGUCUUUUUGUCAGUUCUACACUGCGCUUUCUGGCGGCCUGAUACUGGGAUUCAAACCAAGUACACUGCUCAAAUGAUAUGAUUUAAAACGUUGGAAAACGUGUAUAGCCCUUAUUAUCUAUU